CCGUCUCUACUAAAAAUACAAAAGAUUAGCUGGGCAUGGUGGCGCGUGCCUGUAAUCCCCGCUACUCAGGAGGCUGAGGCAGGAGAAUUGCCUGAACCCAGGAGGCGGAGGUUGCGGUGAGCCGAGAUCGCGCCAUUGCACUCCAGCCUGGGUAACAAGAGCGAAACUCCGUCUCAAAACAAACAAACAAAAAAAAAACAUAAUUGAGAAAGAACCAAUUGGGAAAAACUGGGCAAACAAGAACAGAAGUUCUCUCCGUGGGUCACAGGUUUUAUCUGGAACCAGCAGUCUGGUCUUUCAGCCUUCCGUCUGUUUUCAGCUUGAAGGUGGAGUUUCACCAGGGACCCGCCCCUAUCUGCUGAGAUUCAGAGACGAUGGCGGGGCUACAGGGUUCGGAAAUACGUCUUUAAUUAUUAUUAUUUCAAAGAGUAUCUGAGAGUCGUGUCAGAGACCAAUGAUGCAAUUAGGUAAGUAGUACAAUCACCCGUUGACUAGGGAAAACUUUGGAAAGGUGAGUCAAUGUAUGUUGAUCAACGCCA
rnacentral:lncRNA from 1 species